UACGAAGGGGGCUAGCGUUGCUCGGAAUUACUGGGCGUAAAGGGCGCGUAGGCGGACAGUUUAGUCAGAGGUGAAAGCCCAGGGCUCAACCUUGGAAUUGCCUUUGAUACUGGCUGUCUUGAGUUCGGGAGAGGUGAGUGGAAUGCCGAGUGUAGAGGUGAAAUUCGUAGAUAUUCGGAAGAACACCAGUGGCGAAGGCGGCUCACUGGACUGGUAUUGACGCUGAGGUGCGAAAGCGUGGGGAGCAAACAGG
rnacentral:rRNA from 1 species